UUAUUGUGAAAGGUCACUUAGCAUGCGCAGCCAGCUACAAAAGUAAACGGUACACGGUAAUGACGGUAAGAGGCACAGAGAGAGUAACGAGUGAUACAAAAAGGCAACCAUAAACGGGAGAGUAAAGUGUAACAAGGAAUUUAGCUCCAGUUGAAAGUGGCAACAAGCUCUUACGUUGGUCCUAUGUUGAGCUACGUUGGUCUAAGUUGGACUUGCAAACUGCAGCCUGGUUUAUGACCUGCAAUAAAAGACAUUUGACCAUCAGUCCUGGCUUUCACUAAUUUCGACUGGUACGCUACAGUAAGAGCUUGACCAUCCUCCACACCAUGCUGCACAACGUGGUCCCACGGUCUCUAGCUACAAACCCACAACGGACAGCAGGUCGCAGAAGCUGGUCAGGAAAAUAAAGAGAAAAGGAAGGCUACACUAAAAAUGGAAGGAGCAGCGGCCUCUUCCAGAGGAUGUCAAUGAAGAAAUUGCUAUUCUGCAAAAGAAAAUUCAAGAUUAUAAAGGCCUGCUUGAAAAUUCAAGUGAACAUACAAAGCAAGAAAUACAGGAAACAAUCAAAUUUAAGGAAAAGAUGUAUGGAGGACUAAAAGUGCCAAAAUUAAAUAAAUAAAUACAUCAUUAAAUAAUUAAUUAAAUAUGUCAUUAAUUAAUUAAAAUUGGAAUUAAAUAUUUCAUUAAUUAAUUAAAAUUGGAAUGAAAUACUUAAAUGUGUUAUUAAAUAAAUAUAUCAUUAAAUAAUUAAAUAUGUCAUUAAUUAAUUAAAAUUGGCAUUAAAUAUGUCAUUAAUUAAUUAAAAUUGGCAUUAAAUAUGUCAUUAAUUAAUUAAAAUUGGAAUUAAAUACAUAAAUGUGUUAUUAAAUAUGUCAUUAAUUUAUUAAAAUAACAAUUAUUUUAAGUAAAAAACAUAUUUCAUUAUUUCACUAUUUAAUUAAUUAUUUCAUGGUCCUUGCGUUGCAGUGGAUCAUGAAUUUAUUUUAUCUGUCAACCUCGCCCGUCAAAGUCGGUGGGCGGAUCCUAACACCUGAUUGGUUACCCUGCACAUCAAGUCAAGGCAAAUCGAUUCCAGAUAAUGGAUUGACGCAGAGCUUGUGAACACAUUCCGAUACACUGGGUGGCGCUAUUCACCUCUACGUUGGUUUGGAUACUCAAUAAAACAAAACUUUAUUAGCAACCGCUAAAGACUCGGUCCUCUUUCCCAAAUGUUGAUACAUGCGGUGCAAGACAAAUUUUCCUUUAGCAUUUCCUUUAGCAUCUACUCGGCGCGCCACGGCUCGUCUCGGUUUAGUUGUUUUUCCAUUACAUUGAGUACCACCUCAUCGUGGGUUGAGUCGUCAUAGCACGGUGGCCCGAAAGUCCCUUACCGUCAUUUUUGUGCGACACAAACGCAAUGCAACAAUGUACAUGGAGGCGAUAGUACACCUGCUGCUCGGUCUGUGGCUUUCUGUCAGAUUCAGAGUAACAGAAGAGUCGGAGAAAGCUGAGAGCGGCGAGUCGAAACACUCAGGAGACACACAGGAGAGUUUGGGAGGCGAUACAGCAGUAUCAAGCUGAAGACGAGGAUAUGAACGAGACGACAUAUAAGGAUGCUCUCUGAUGAGACUUCAUGGGAUUUACCUGAAGCAGCAGCACAUGAGCCUGCAGUGGCACAAGGUGUAGAGGAGGAGGGCAGAGAUGUACAGGAUGCACUGAUGCACUACGUGUCAUGCAAAAGUUAAAAGUUGUUCUUCUUGUUAUACUUCUGUUUUUCUGUCCCCGGACCGCUAUUGUUUUCUUUAAUGCAAUUCUGACAAUAAACUUUUGUAGAUGUG